CAUGUAGGCGGUUUUUUAAGUCCGGAGUGAAAAUGCGGGGCUCAACCCCGUAUGGCUCUGGAUACUGGAAGACUUGAGUGCUGGAGAGGAAAGGGGAAUUCCCAGUGUAGCGGUGAAAUGCGUAGAUAUUGGGAGGAACACCAGUGGCGAAGGCGCCUUUCUGGACUGUGUCUGACGCUGAGAUGCGAAAGCCAGGGUAGCGAACG
rnacentral:rRNA from 1 species